AUAUUGGCGAGAGACCGAUAGCGAACAAGUACCGUGAGGGAAAGAUGAAAAGCGCUUUGGAAAGAGAGUUAAACAGUAUGUGAAAUUGUUAAAAGGGAAACGAUUGAAGUCAGUCGUGCUCUUUGGAUUCAGCCGGUUCUGCCGGUGUACUUCCUUUGAGUGGGGUCAACAUCAGUUUUGAUCGCUGGAUAAAGGCUGGAGGAACGUAGCACCCCCGGGUGAACUUAUAGCCUCCGGUCACAUACAGUGGUUGGGACUGAGGAACGCAGCACGCCUUUAUGGCCAGGAUCCGUCCAUGUACGUGCUUAGGAUGUUGACAUAAUGGCUUUAAACGACCCGUCUUGAAACACGGACC
rnacentral:rRNA from 1 species